rnacentral:pre_miRNA from 1 species
CUGUGUGGAUUAUGUUCAGCACCAGGGACAGGUGUGUUAACCUCUGUGUGGAUAUUGUUCAGCACCAAGGACAGGUAUGUUUACAA